GACCCCAGGUCAGACGGGAUCACCCGCUGAGUUUAA
rnacentral:rRNA from 2 species